rnacentral:lncRNA from 1 species
AAGCAUGGUCUCGCGACCAAAGAGAAAGGGUAAGGGAGUCGGUUACGCAAGGGGAAGGUAUUAGCACCCCUCACGUCCGUCGUACUCGACGGGAUCCACGUUCUAAAAGAAAGAAAAGGUUGCUAAAACAUCACACACACACACAAGGAACGCAGGUGGGGUUAAGAGGAAGGGAGCUCGAUAGGACAUCGCAUCCUAUGCCUACAUAUCUCGUCUGGAACGAGAAUCAGAGCUGCUGUAGUUCGGCUCACGCACGCCAAACAACACACGCACCCAAACAGGCAAACAUGGAGCCUGAAUGCCAAUCACUAGGCUUACAUCAG